GGUUUCCCGGGUAGGGGCAAACGCCCGGAAAUUACCCCACCCCCAAAUCCGGUGCCUUUUGGGUUUGGGGAUUUGUGGUGUAAAGGUUGUGUCUUUAUUUGUGUGGGGCCCUUCAAAUUCCCUUGAUGGGGAUAUUGCCCAAAAAGGGGGUCAAACCCUUUGAGGCGUAUGGUACCCCAUUUUUUGAUGCUCCCUAUGAUUCGAAUUGUUUGAAAAUGCAUUCCAAAUACGGGGGUAACCCCCUUCUAGGGCUAAAUACUUGUACAAGCCCAAUACCAAACAAUUCCCGGGGGGAAAAUUUAAAAAAAAUUUUAAAAAGAGAKUUAAAUAGUACGUGAAWUCGCUUAGAGGUAAACGAGUGGARCCSAAAAGGUUGGGSGGGAUUCAGUUGGGUGUGCRAUGGCGAUCGGUUGCGGWAAAAACCACAUCUGGYAUUACUCKAUCGGUUGUUGUUGKGCGCACAAUGSACUUUCUGUUCGACKGGACUGKGACCGGUAGUGUCGUUUGUUAKKAGUGACGUUGAAGGUGAUCAUUUGCUUGUCAUUUGGUUUUAUAGCUCGUUACUCGAAUGAAUGUGAUGUAUCGGUGAAUUGCAAUCGGUCAAUGUUGGCAAUCGGUUAUGUAUGUCGUCCGGUGGUAGGCUACUCGUACACUGCUGUCGGGCGGUGUGUGUGAUCGGUUGUCRAUGGAUCGGUUUAAAGUCACAGKAAUAUGUAGGCCAUCUACUCGUCCCGUCUUGAAACACGGACCAAGGAGUUUUAUAUGAUCGCGAGUCAAAGGGCUGUACGAAACCCCAGGGCGCAAUUAAUGUAAAGGUCUGCUUUAGUAGGCUGAGAUGUGACCCGGUAUCCGUCAAAMGGKAUCGGUGCAAUAUCGACCCGUCUGAAGAUGUUCGCAUCUGGGCGGAGUUUGAGCGAUCAUGUAGAGACCCGAAAGAUGGUGAACUAUGCUUGUGCAGGUUGAAGUCAGAGGAAACUCUGAUGGAGGACCGCCGCGGUUCUGACGUGCAAAUCGAUCGUCGGACAUGAGUAUAGGGGCGAAAG
rnacentral:rRNA from 1 species